UGGGGAAUUUUCCGCAAUGGGCGCAAGCCUGACGGAGUGACGCCGCGUGGGGGACGAAGGCCUUCGGGUCGUAAACCCCUGUCAGAAGGAAAGAAGGUGGGGGCGGUGAACAGCCGCCUGCAUUGACGGUACCUUCAGAGGAAGCCCCGGCCAACUCUGUGCCAGCAGCCGCGGUAAGACAGAGGGGGCAAGCGUUGCUCGGAAUCACUGGGCGUAAAGGGCGCGUAGGCGGGAGGCCAAGUCGGUCGUGAAAUCCUCGGGCUCAACCCGAGGGGGUCGGCCGAAACUGGUUUUCUUGAGGGGCGCAGAGGAGCCUGGAAUUCCCGGUGUAGCGGUGAAAUGUGUAGAGAUCGGGAGGAACACCGGUGGCGAAGGCGGGGCUCUGGGCGCACCCUGACGCUGAGGCGCGAAGGCGUGGGGAGCAAACGGG
rnacentral:rRNA from 1 species